rnacentral:rRNA from 1 species
CUCCGGGUUGAUCCCGCCGGACCCGACUGCUAUCAGAGUGGGACUAAGCCAUGCGAGUCGACGUAGCAAUGCGUGGCGAACGGCUCAGUAACACGUAGUCAACAUGCCCAGGGGACGUGGAUAACCUCGGGAAACUGAGAAUAAACCACGAUAGGUCACGAUUUCUGGAAUGGAUCAUGGCCUAAAUCUACAUGGCCCCUGGAUUGGACUGCGGCCGAUCAGGCUGUUGGUGAGGUAAUGGCCCACCAAACCUAUAACCGGUACGGGCUCUGAGAGGAGAAGCCCGGAGAUGGGCACUGAGACAAGGGCCCAGGCCCUAUGGGGCGCAGCAGGCGCGAAACCUCUGCAAUAGGCGAAAGCCUGACAGGGUUACUCUGAGUGAUUUCCGCUAAGGGGAUCUUUUGGCACCUCUAAAAAUGGUGCAGAAUAAGGGGUGGGCAAGUCUGGUGUCAGCCGCCGCGGUAAUACCAGCACCCCGAGUGGUCGGGACGAUUAUUGGGCCUAAAGCAUCCGUAGCCGGUUCUGCAAGUCUUCCGUUAAAUCCAGCCGCUCAACGGAUGGGCCGCGGAGGAUACUACAGGACUAGGAGGCGGGAGAGGCAAGCGGUACUCAGUGGGUAGGGGUAAAAUCCUUUGAUCCAUUGAAGACCACCAGUGGCGAAGGCGGCUUGCCAGAACGCGCUCGACGGUGAGGGAUGAAAGCUGGGGGAGCAAACCGGAUUAGAUACCCGGGUAGUCCCAGCUGUAAACGAUGCAGACUCGGUGAUGGGCUAGCCUUGUGCCAGCCCAGUGCCGCAGGGAAGCCGUUAAGUCUGCCGCCUGGGGAGUACGGUCGCAAGACUGAAACUUAAAGGAAAUUGGCGGGGGAGCA